UUCUUUUUGAAGCUGUCUCUCAGUGGCUCGAUUUGAACGCUCUUCAAAUAAGUUCUUUAAAAAAUAAUAAUAAAGUAAUAAAUAUAUCCCAAGUAGUGGCUGCUGGAAAGCCCUUCUCGUUUGCAAGCGAGAGUGGGCUGAAAAGUGCUUCUAUCCCCAACGAUCGUAGCAGCUCCAAACAGUAUGAGAGACAGUAAGGGGAAAAGUGCUAUCAGCCCUAAACGACCGUAGCGUCCCCUGAAGCUGUAUGACAGCUUAAGUACCGCUAGUUUGGAACAGCUUUUGAGCGAGAGAGAGUGGAGAAGUGAACUGUCCCCCAACGAUCGUAGAGCCCCAUGUAGAUAUGAGUUUACAUGUAAAUAAAUAUGUAAAAAGCAUCUCGUGUGUCAGCGAGAGUGAGCGGCAAAGUGCCGCCAUCCCCCAACGACGGCAGCCGACCGUAGGAAAAGUGCCAGGACCCAGGAGCAGCGUAUGAUUCUCCAAUGGACCAUCAAGCGACUGUGAAAGACCCCGCCCCUUUCCCCUUGGUAAGAAAUUCACAUCAGCGCAAUAAAGUUUGUA
rnacentral:misc_RNA from 1 species